UACGGGGGAGCAAGCGUUGUUCGGAUUUACUGGGCGUAAAGGGCGCGUAGGCGGUCAGCACAAGUCAGUUGUGAAAGUCUCCCGGGCUUAACUUCGGAAAGGUCAACUGAUACUGUGCGACUAGAGUGCGGAAGGGCAACUGGAAUUCUCGGUGUAGCGGUGAAAUGCGUAGAUAUCGAGAGGAACACCUGCGGCGAAGGCGGGUUGCUGGGCCGACACUGACGCUGAGGUGCGAAAGCGUGGGAGCAAACAGG
rnacentral:rRNA from 1 species